rnacentral:rRNA from 1 species
AAGCGGAGGAAAAGAAACCAACAGGGAUUACCUCAGUAACGGCGAGUGAAGCGGUAACAGCUCAAAUUUGAAAUCUGGGUCUUUCAGGCUCCGAGUUGUAAUUUGUAGAAGAUGCUUUGGGUGCGGCCCUGGUCUAAGUUCCUUGGAACAGGACGUCAUAGAGGGUGAGAAUCCCGUAUGUGAUCGGUGGCUUGCGCCCGUGUAAAGCUCUUUCGACGAGUCGGGUUGUUUGGGAAUGCAGCUCUAAAUGGGUGGUAAAUUUCAUCUAAAGCUAAAUAUUGGCCAGAGACCGAUAGCGCACAAGUAGAGUGAUCGAAAGAUGAAAAGAACUUUGGAAAGAGAGUUAAACAGUACGUGAAAUUGUUGAAAGGGAAGCGCUUGCAACCAGACUUGCGCGGGGUUGAUCAUCCGGGGUUCUCCCCGGUGCACUCGGCCUCGCUCAGGCCAGCAUCGGUUUCGGUGGUUGGAUAAAGGCCUUGGGAAUGUAGCUCCUCUCGGGGAGUGUUAUAGCCCUCGGUGCAAUGCAGCCUACCGGGACCGAGGACCGCGCUUCGGCUAGGAUGCUGGCGUAAUGGUUGUAAGCGACCCGUCUUGAAACACGGACCAAGGAGUCUAACAUCUAUGCGAGUGUUUGGGUGUCAAACCCAUACGCGUAAUGAAAGUGAACGGAGGUGAGAACCCUUAAGGGUGCAUCAUCGACCGAUCCUGAUGUCUUCGGAUGGAUUUGAGUAAGAGCAUAGCUGUUGGGACCCGAAAGAUGGUGAACUAUGCCUGAAUAGGGUGAAGCCAGAGGAAACUCUGGUGGAGGCUCGCAGCGGUUCUGACGUGCAAAUCGAUCGUCAAAUUUGGGCAUAGGGGCGAAAGACUAAUCGAACCAUCUAGUAGCUGGUUCCUG